GAAUCAUUAGCUCAGUUGGCAGAGCACUUGACUUUUAAUCAAGGUGUCCGGGGUUCGAAUCCCCGAUGGUUCACCA
rnacentral:tRNA from 4 species